rnacentral:rRNA from 1 species
GACGAACGCUGGCGGCGUGCUUAACACAUGCAAGUCGAACGGAAAGGCCCUGCUUUUGUGGGGUGCUCGAGUGGCGAACGGGUGAGUAACACGUGAGUAACCUGCCCUUGACUUUGGGAUAACUUCAGGAAACUGGGGCUAAUACCGGAUAGGAGCUCCUGCUGCAUGGUGGGGGUUGGAAAGUUUCGGCGGGUGGGGAUGGACUCGCGGCUUAUCAGCUUGUUGGUGGGGUAGUGGCUUACCAAGGCUUUGACGGGUAGCCGGCCUGAGAGGGUGACCGGCCACAUUAGGACUGAGAUACGGCCCAGACUCCUACGGGAGGCAGCAGUGGGGAGUAUUGCACAAUGGGCGGAAGCCUGAUGCAGCAACGCCGCGUGCGGGAUGACGGCCUUCGGGUUGUAAACCGCUGUCGCCUGUGACGAAGCGUGAGUGACGGUAAUGGGUAAAGAAGCACCGGCUAACUACGUG